GAUGAACGCUGGCGGCGUGCUUAACACAUGCAAGUCGAACGAAGCAUUUCCUUUUCUUCGGAAAAGGAAAUGACUGAGUGGCGGACGGGUGAGUAACGCGUGGGUAACCUGCCUCAUACAGGGGGAUAACAGCUGGAAACGGCUGCUAAUACCGCAUAAGCGCACAAUGCUGCAUGACAUAGUGUGAAAAACUCUGGUGGUAUGAGAUGGACCCGCGUCUGAUUAGCUAGUUGGUAAGGUAAUGGCUUGCCAAGGCGACGAUCAGUAGCCGACCUGAGAGGGUGACCGGCAACAUUGGGACUGAGACACGGCCCAAACUCCUACGGGAGGCAGCAGUGGGGAAUAUUGCACAAUGGGCGAAAGCCUGAUGCAGCGACGCCGCGUGAGCGAAGAAGUAUUUCGGUAUGUAAAGCUCUAUCAGCAGGGAAGAAAAAAAUGACGGUACCUGACUAAGAAGCACCGGCUAAAUACGUGCCAGCCGCCGCAGUAA
rnacentral:rRNA from 1 species